CUUCGCAGUACCGCUAAAAUUCUUUCAUUGUUCUGCAAAUUUAUCAAAGUAAUUACGUUUACUUAAUACUUCUUUCAUCGAUAAAAAUAAUGGAGGUUGUGUUGAAUAUGGCAAGAAACUCGAAAAACUUGUCGACAAACUCGUAGGAAGAGUCAUACUGAUAUCAACACUUUUCACACGAUUUAUCAGAAAAUCCAUAGAGAUCCAAUUAAAUGGUUACAGCAUCCAUACACAGAUGUCUCAUUGUCUAUUGUUGAAGGAAGUGAGAUCACGACUGCCCAUUUUUGAGAUUUUCUUAUCAAUCAACCAUCGAACCAUUGUCUCUAUUAAAAUCCAUUGGUGAUCGACAAAGGACGAAAAUAUAAAUCGAUACGUAGAUACAUAGAUCGAUAAGUAGGUACCUCCUGGAGUACUUUUGAAGCAACAUUUUCGGGCUAAAGACUUCGUCACGAAAUAUGGUCUUCCGUUUUCACCUGAAGUGGCCCGAAUUCUCCCCACUUCCAUGUUUAGAGAUAUGGACGAUAGAAAUAACAAGAUGGUGGGGGUAAACAGUGGGGACACUACGAACCUGAUAUUUCAGCCAAUGAGAACCAUGCAUCUAUUCCGGCAUCACCGAUAGAGAUGCAUGGCUGUGGUUGGUUGAAUGUCAAGAUUUUUAGAACAUUGGUGUGUUGACAGUAAUUUACCUACAAGUUAUUCACGAUUACGAUUCAUAGUUACAAAGGCUGUGCGUCGAUUUGCUCUGUUUUGGGACCACAGGACGCCAUUUCAAUAGUUGUGGUGGUUUCGCGUUUCUAAUGAGAUUACAUUUAUGGCCGAGAGAGCCGAGUCACCUUGACGUUGGCUACCGUGAUAAAGAGUUCUUUGACUCCUGCUUUGUUUCUCUUCGGAUUUCACCGGUUUUCCUGAAUAUUGUCCUGAACUUUUACGAAUAAAACCCCAUUACAAAAUAACAAAAAAUAAUAUUGCGACUGGUAAGACACUGUCAGAUCGACGGAAUAAAUCAACAUGGUGGCGAAUCAAAGAGUGAGUUAAGUCUAACGGAAUUCGUGCCUGAGGAGUCUCUUUUGUGUUGUGAUAAUCAGCGAAUUUGUGGGGAAAAAUCAUUCAUAUAUCAUUGAUAUACAGUGUUUAAGUUGAAACGAAGUAAUUGUGCAGCGACCUGAGACCUACCGAGAUGGUUCUAAGUUAUUAUGACUAGUCUAAUUGGAUGAGGUUUGGGUAUGGGGAGAAUACACAUGACAGGAUGAACGUAGUAGCAGUGACAAAAAAUAUGUUUUUUCCUUCAGUGUAUUAAAUUCCCUCAAAAGUCUUAUGGAAAUGACGAAGGACGCUGAUGAUAAAUACAGAAUAAUGAGCAGAAAAUGCCUCAUGCUCCACUGACAAUGAAUAAUUAUUAUAAAAACAUUUGAAAUUUGUGACAUAUAAUUCGAGGUAAAGAAUAAAGUAAAUGAAUUUAUGACAGAUGUUCUUCGAUAUUCAGAGCAAUGGAUAGAAAAAACAUUCAAUAAAAUUCUCUCACCUGUCUAGUAUGUGUAAUCGGUUGGUGAUUUGGAUAUCUUAAAAGUUCAAAUUGUAAUGAUAAUAUUCAUAAAUUGCUAUAAACAGUCCAUAGAGGAGAGAAUUAAGAAUGGCUCAUGCUGGCAACGAAUUAAAUUUUUCGUCUUCAUUAUUGUCAUCAUCGUCAUGAAUAAAUAGGUAGGAUUGAAUGAUUGAAGACAUUUUCAAGGAUCAGGUUAGGGAGAUAGAGGUGUAAAUUUAUCAUUUAUGUUGCCUACACGGCCAUUUGGGUUAUAAUUAGGAAUUAUUUUGUCUAGAAUCAAAAGACAAUAUACGAAACUAGCGAACUGCUCCUAAAAAUCUACCCUAAUAUAUUUUUUAACGAAAUACUUGGCGAUUUUAAAAAAUAUUUUAUGAGGUAUUUUAUGCAUUCUGAUUGUCUCUGACCUCUGAAAGAAUUUUUCCUGCGUUUAAAACCCAAUAAUACUGAAAUCUAUUGAAAAAACGGAAUUGAAAAAAAAUCCGUCGAUAUUUUGUUGAUUAUCUCGAAACGAAGUGACGAGCGGGAAAAAUGUGAGAGAAAGUUGUCUGCGGAAAAGUAAAUUCCCUGCAAAAAAGGUACUUUCAGAUUUUUCUUUAGCAUGCCCCAUUACCGAAAUAAUUAAUAAAUUAUCGAAAUAAAAUUAAAAUGAAUACGAGACUAUUUGGUGAAUAACUCGCAAAAUUAUGAGAGUUGUCGAACAUUUCUCCGAUAUCGUCUUUGCGCGGAAUUAAAUUCUCUACAAUAAAUAUUCUUGUAGCAUCCAUCGCCGAAACUCUUAUCUUUCGAGAUGUUUCGAAAAAAUAAAAUUAUAUAAAUUAAACAAACGAGAAAACUAAUUUUAAGGUCUUUCAGACAUAACGAAUGCACAAAAUAGAUAAUUUUAAACUUCAAAUUACCUGAAUUAAGCUCUCUCACGAGUGUUGACAUGGCAUUUGUGACACUGUCAGCAGCAACAAGUAGAUCAUUUCUCAAGGAUCUUCCCAAGCUAUUGUUGGCACUGCUUGAUCCACUCCCGGGUAGGCUGUUUGUCCUGAACGCAGACCUGACAUCGAAAAUCUCUAUUUUCUUUGCGCGAAGAAGCACCAAAUAACGAAAAAAUAAAUAAAUCAAGACAACGAAAGAUUUUCAAAAAAAAAAAAUCAUCACGACAUUAAUCUGAAUUGAAUUAUUUAUUGCAGUAAGCAUGUCAACAAUCUGUCGUACGUCUUCAUUCACUUGAUUUUCUUUACUCUUGUAUUUUUUUUUCGCGAAUCGAAGGGGCUUCGCAUUACAGUAACUACGUGCUAGGUUUUCAUUUACACAUGUUUUUUAUAAUCUCCUGGUUAUUUAGGUGAACUGUGAGGGCAUUCUGGCUUCUACGGUUUACAAUCGUGGUGGAAUGAAAAUUGUGCCACAUUUUUUUUUUUUCAUGGGUAUAGUUUGGAAUUACAGCCUCCAUUACAUGCGACAUUCAGGACAAAUUGGCAGUUUUAUUGUUAUUAUUAUUUUUCACUAUUCAUUAAUGAGUCGAGCAGUAUUGGGGAUUCUGAGAGUACUUGGUGCACGUCGAGCAUUCCGAAAUGAAAUUAAGCAAAAUAAAAUUAAUAAAUGAAACUUGUAUGAAAUUGUCACUUUUUGUUCCGUUUGAAAAAGAGAGAACAUAGAAUAUGCCCUAAAAUCCAACUGUGAUUAAUGGAAUCGACUUUUUUUACAGACAACACUUGUUUACACAAUUUUUUGAUUCACUUUAUUUAAUUUUGAAAUUUUUGAGAAUUAAUGAUAUUUGGUUGGAUUCAGCAGGUAUUGAUUACCCCUUUUUGCAAUAUCAGUUGUCUGUUCUUAG